rnacentral:rRNA from 1 species
AACGAACGCUGGCGGCAUGCCUAACACAUGCAAGUCGAACGAGACCUUCGGGUCUAGUGGCGCACGGGUGCGUAACGCGUGGGAACCUGCCCUUAGGUUCGGAAUAACUCCCCGAAAGGGGUGCUAAUACCGGAUAAUGUCUUCGGACCAAAGAUUUAUCGCCUUUGGAUGGGCCCGCGUUGGAUUAGCUAGUUGGUAGGGUAAAAGCCUACCAAGGCGACGAUCCAUAGCUGGUCUGAGAGGAUGAUCAGCCACACUGGGACUGAGACACGGCCCAGAAUCCUACGGGAGGCAGCAGUGGGGAAUAUUGGACAAUGGGCGAAAGCCUGAUCCAGCAAGGCCGCGUGAGUGAUGAAGGCCUUAGGGUUGUAAAGCUCUUUUACCCGGGAUGAUAAUGACAGUACCGGGAGAAUAAGCUCCGGCUAACUACGUG